ensembl:lncRNA
GGUUGACUUAUGCCGCGUUUCCACUGCGGGGUGCGGAACGGAUCGGAUCGCAGAGAACGUGUUUCUGGAGCGGAUGCGAGCCGGUAGGGGAGCCGUGAAUCUGGAGGAUUACCAUCACACUACUAACAUGGAUUACCAGGACUCUGGCUGAGGAGAGCUGAUGGAGGAGCCAAGACUCUGGAGGACGACAUCACUCUACCAACCAGGAUCCUCACCAGGAAUCUGGAGGACUGAUGGGGAAGCCGUACAUCUGGAAGGCAAAUCCUGAGGACAACCAGGACUCUACCAUCAAGGAUUCCUCACACACCUGAGCUGAACCUCACCUGAUCCUGUUUGGUUUGGGGUAGACACACCUGAGCUGAACCCGCCCUGAUCCUGACAUCCUGCUGGUCACGUCUCCUCAGUUCAUCUGCGCCUCGUCCUCCAGAAGACCUGCUGAGCUCAGUGGUCUGAGGCUGAGGGAUCAAUGACCUCCAGUGGGAGUGAUCUUCUUGACCCCACAUUUAACCGUGUGCUUCCACACGCCUUUCUCUCACGUCUGUCACUAACAUCACUACUUCACUACUCUCUACUGCUUCCUCUUCUUCUUCCUUCUCUGUGGUUCGAACCUUUACACUGAAGGCGCGUCUUCCUGCCCUCAGAGGGUUCAGCGUUAGGGUUGAGAGUCAGGGUUUAGAGUCAGGGACAGAGCUGGUCAGGGAGGACUUC